GACGAACGCUGGCGGCGUGCUUAACACAUGCAAGUCGAACGGAGUGGCGAACGGGGGAGUAACACGUGGGUGAACUGCCCUGCACUUCGGGAUAAGCCUGGGAAACUGGGUCUAAUACCGGAUAGUGUGGGAUGGGCCCGCGGCCUAUCAGCUUGUUGGUGGGGUAAUGGCCGACCAAGGCGGCGACGGGUAGCCGGCCUGAGGGUGUGGACGGCCACAUUGGGACUGAGGCACGGACCAUACUCCGACGUGAGGCAGAAGUGGGGAAUAUUGCACAAUGGGCGGAAGUCUGAUGCAGCGACGCCGCGUGGGGGAUGACGGCCUUCGGGUUGUAAACUCCUUUCACCAUCGACGCGGUAGAUGGAGAAGAAGCACCGGCUAACUACGUGCCAGCAGCCGCGGUAAUUC
rnacentral:rRNA from 1 species